rnacentral:snoRNA from 1 species
ACAAGCCAAUGAUGGCUAGUUAUCCCUGUCUGAAAAUCUCAACUGAGGGAAAAGAACCUAUUCUGAGGCUUAG